rnacentral:rRNA from 1 species
GACGAACGCUGGCGGCGUGCUUAACACAUGCCAGUCGAACGGAAAGGCCUCUUUCGGGGGGUACUCGAGUGGCGAACGGGUGAGUAACACGUGAGUAACCUGCCCUUGACUUUGGGAUAACUUCAGGAAACUGGGGCUAAUACCGGAUAGGAGCUCCUGCUGCAUGGUGGGGGUUGGAAAGUUUCGGCGGUUGGGGAUAGACUCGCGGCUUAUCAGCUUGUUGGUGGGGUAGUGGCUUACCAAGGCUUUGACGGGUAGCCGGCCUGAGAGGGUGACCGGCCACAUUGGGACUGAGAUACGGCCCAGACUCCUACGGGAGGCAGCAGUGGGGAAUAUUGCACAAUGGGUGGAAGCCUGAUGCAGCAACGCCGUGUGCGGGAUGACGGCCUUCGGGUUGUAAACCGCUUUCGCUCAUGACGAAGCUUUGUGUGACGGUAGUGGGUAAAGAAGCACCGGCUAACUACGU